rnacentral:rRNA from 1 species
UACGAAGGGGGCUAGCGUUGUUCGGAAUUACUGGGCGUAAAGCGCGUGUAGGCGGGUCUUUAAAUCAGGGGUGAAAUGCCAAGGCUCAACCUUGGAACUGCCUUUGAUACUGGAGACCUUGAGUCCGGGAGAGGUGAGUGGAAUUGCGAGUGUAGAGGUGAAAUUCGUAGAUAUUCGCAAGAACACCAGUGGCGAAGGCGGCUCACUGGCCCGGAACUGACGCUGAGAUGCGAAAGCGUGGGGAGCAAACAGG